AAAACGUUUCCAAUAUGUAGAAUUUGGACUGCAAUGCCAAGUUCAAGCACUCGGUGUGAAUCCUACAAAUAGCACCUAAAAGGUCAGGAGCUGUCAGAUUUGAAAAGUUGAGCGGGGGAAAGCUGUCUAGUAUGCUCUUUUCAAGAGUUUACGCACAAACGCAUGCAUACGAUUAGACCGUGAAAGAGAACCAGUGUGAUGUCUGCAGGUCACAGUGAUAGAUGCAGUACCUCGAGUUCCCAGCAAAGUACCGCCACAUGAAUAAAUGAUA